AUGGUAAGGAGAAAAGAAGAUGGCCGCGAGGAGCGAGAAAGAAAAUAAUCUCGAAGAGCGUUAAAGGUGGUAGAAGAACACGGUGCCUCGAAGGAGAACGAACUACGAAUCGUCCAAAACUCUCCAACUUCAGAUUAUCUUAACCACCACUAGACAAUAGACACUCGAAAAGUACGGGAAAACGAGUGUUGAAUAGUUACAUGUGUGUCCUUGUUACGAAGAGGUCAGUCUGUCGAGGAUCGUCCUUGGAAUCGCUCGUCCCUGAAGCCGGCUCGAGGAGCUAGUGAUCUCGAAAACAAAAAUGGCGGACGUCGACUCGAGGGUGGAUCAUUCGGAUCCCGAAUUGCGGUUCCUUUCCGUUGACAGGAAUAAUUUCAAUGAUCCUGCAACUCAGGCGGAAUGGACGCAGAAAAAGUUGGUUUGGGUGCCUCACGAAACUCAGGGUUUCGUUGCAGCCGGGAUAAAGGGUGAACGGGGUGACGAGGUCGAAGUGGAGAUUGCCGAAACUGGAAAACGGGUCCUUGUCGCGAAAGAUGAUAUUCAGAAGAUGAAUCCACCGAAAUUUGAUAAAGUUGAAGACAUGGCUGAAUUAACGUGCUUAAAUGAAGCUUCGGUACUGCAUAACCUCAAAGACAGAUACUACUCCGGCCUCAUUUACACAUACUCAGGACUAUUCUGCGUGGUGGUAAAUCCAUACAAGAGGCUGCCAAUUUACACGGAAAAGAUAAUGGAGAGGUAUAAGGGUAUCAAGAGACACGAGGUCCCACCUCAUGUUUUUGCUAUUACGGACACUGCAUAUCGUUCUAUGCUUCAAGAUCGCGAAGACCAGUCCAUUCUAUGCACCGGUGAAUCCGGCGCUGGUAAAACUGAGAACACGAAAAAAGUAAUUCAAUACCUGGCAUACGUCGCUGCCUCGAAACCGAAAUCAAAUGCGACACCAAGUCCGGCAUUAAUCAUAGGUGAAUUGGAACAGCAACUCUUACAAGCGAAUCCAAUUUUAGAAGCUUUUGGGAAUGCUAAAACAGUGAAAAAUGACAACUCAUCCCGAUUUGGUAAAUUUAUUCGAAUAAACUUCGAUGCCUCGGGUUAUAUUGCCGGCGCAAACAUAGAGACUUAUCUUCUGGAAAAGUCAAGAGCAAUUCGACAAGCGAAAGAUGAGAGAACCUUCCACAUAUUUUAUCAACUUCUAGCGGGUGCCUCCGCUGAUCAAAAAAAGGAAUUUAUCUUGGAGGAUCCGAAACACUAUCCAUUCCUUUCCAAUGGUGCAUUACCAGUUCCAGGAGUGGACGAUUCAGCUGAGUUCUUCUCAACUGUGAAGUCCAUGCAUAUCAUGGGCAUGACAAAUGAAGAUUUUUCUUCCAUCUUUCGUAUCGUGUCUGCGGUAAUGCUAUUUGGUUCUAUGCAGUUCCGUCAAGAAAGGAACUCGGAUCAAGCCACGUUACCGGACAAUACUGUUGCUCAAAAAAUUUCUCAUUUACUCGGUUUGAGCGUAACAGAAAUGACAAAAGCGUUUUUAAAACCAAGAAUUAAAGUGGGUAGAGACUUCGUAACGAAAGCACAAACAAAAGAGCAAGUUGAAUUUGCCGUAGAAGCAAUUUCAAAAGCUUGCUAUGAGAGAAUGUUUAGGUGGCUUGUAAACCGAAUCAAUCGAUCAUUGGAUCGGACAAAAAGACAAGGAGCAAGUUUUAUCGGUAUCUUAGAUAUGGCUGGUUUUGAAAUAUUCGAGUUGAACAGUUUCGAACAGUUAUGCAUUAAUUAUACUAACGAGAAGUUACAACAAUUAUUCAACCAUACCAUGUUCAUUUUGGAACAAGAAGAAUAUCAAAGGGAAGGAAUUGAAUGGAAAUUUAUUGAUUUUGGAUUAGAUUUGCAACCAACUAUUGAUUUGAUUGACAAACCGAUGGGCAUCAUGGCUUUACUGGAUGAAGAAUGUUGGUUCCCUAAAGCAACGGAUAAAACAUUUGUUGAAAAAUUAGUAGGUGCACAUAGUGUACAUCCAAAAUUCAUGAAAACAGACUUCAGAGGUGUGGCAGAUUUUGCUAUCAUACAUUAUGCUGGAAAAGUUGAUUAUUCAGCUGCCAAAUGGUUGAUGAAAAAUAUGGAUCCUUUGAAUGAAAAUGUUGUUAGCCUUUUACAAAAUUCACAAGAUCCUUUCGUUUGUCAUAUUUGGAAAGACGCAGAAAUUGUUGGAAUGGCUCAACAAGCAUUAACUGAUACACAAUUUGGUGCAAGAACAAGGAAAGGCAUGUUCAGAACAGUUUCUCAAUUGUACAAGGAACAAUUAGCAAAAUUAAUGGUUACUUUAAGAAACACAAAUCCUAAUUUUGUAAGAUGCAUCAUACCAAAUCAUGAAAAGAAGGCUGGAAAAAUUGAUGCACCAUUGGUACUAGAUCAAUUGAGAUGUAAUGGAGUUUUAGAAGGAAUUCGAAUUUGCCGACAAGGAUUUCCAAAUAGAAUACCAUUCCAAGAAUUCAGACAAAGAUACGAACUUCUAACACCAAAUGCUAUUCCUAAAGGGUUUAUGGAUGGAAAGAAAGCUUGUGAGAAAAUGAUUCAAGCUCUUGAACUUGACCCUAAUCUUUAUCGCGUUGGUCAAUCAAAAAUUUUCUUCCGUGCUGGAGUUUUAGCUCAUCUUGAAGAAGAACGUGAUUAUAAAAUUACUGACAUAAUUGUUAAUUUCCAAGCAUUCUGUCGUGGUUUUCUUGCUCGCAGAAAUUAUCAGAAACGUUUGCAACAGUUAAAUGCUAUUAGAAUUAUUCAAAGAAAUUGUGCUGCUUACUUAAAACUUAGAAAUUGGCAAUGGUGGCGUUUGUAUACGAAGGUGAAACCACUUCUGGAAGUGACAAAACAAGAGGAAAAAUUGACUCAAAAAGAAGAUGAAUUGAAACAAGUACGGGACAAGUUAGAGAUGCAAUUACAUUCUGCACAAGAAUAUGAACGAAAAUAUCAACAAGCUAUGGAAGAAAAAACUAUGUUAGCAGAACAAUUACAAGCUGAAGUCGAAUUAUGUGCAGAAGCAGAAGAAAUGCGAGCGAGAUUAGCCGCCAGAAAGCAGGAACUAGAAGAGAUUCUUCAUGAUUUGGAAACAAGAAUUGAAGAGGAAGAAGAAAGAAGUGCUGGAUUAACUCAAGAAAAAAAGAAAUUGCAAUUAAAUAUAAGUGAUCUUGAAGAGCAGUUAGAGGAGGAGGAAGCUGCUAGACAGAAAUUACAGUUAGAGAAAGUACAAUGUGAUGCAAAAAUCAAAAAACUUGAGGAAGACCUUGCACUUUCUGAGGAUACAAAUCAAAAAUUAUUGAAGGAGAAAAAGAUCCUCGAAGAAAGAGCAAAUGAUUUAUCUCAGACACUCGCUGAGGAAGAAGAAAAAGCGAAACACUUAUCCAAAUUAAAAGCAAAACAUGAAGCAACGAUUGCAGAUCUUGAAGAAAGGUUAUUGAAAGAUCAUCAACAAAGACAGGAAGUAGAUAGAUCAAAACGGAAAAUAGAAACUGAAGUAUCAGAUUUGAAGGAACAACUUGCAGAAAGGAAGACACAGGUAGAAGAACUUCAACUGCAACUUGGUAAACGUGAGGAAGAAUUAAAUCAAGUAAUGGCAAAAAUGGAUGAAGAAGGAGCAGCUAAAGCUCAAGCUCAAAAAGCACUUCGUGAAUUAGAGUCUCAAUUGGCCGAACUUCAAGAAGAUUUAGAAGCUGAAAAGGCUGCUAGGGGAAAAGCAGAAAAACUAAAACGAGACUUAAACGAGGAAUUAGAAGCAUUGAAAAAUGAAUUAUUAGAUUCUUUAGAUACAACUGCUGCGCAGCAAGAAUUAAGAAGCAAACGAGAACAGGAAUUAGCAACAUUAAAGAAGAAUUUAGAAGAAGAAACAUCAAUACACGAAGCAACAUUGGCGGAUAUGCGUCAUAAGCACACGCAGGAAUUGACUGCUUUGAACGAACAAAUGGAUGCAUUGAAGAAAACUAAAGCUGUUUUAGAAAAAGCAAAGGGAACGUUGGAGGCUGAAAAUGCUGAUUUAGCUACAGAACUUAGGUCUGUUGGUGCGAGCAGGCAAGAAUCAGAUAGAAGAAGAAAACAGGCUGAACAACAACUUGCUGAAGUAAAUGCAAAACUUGCAGAAGUAGAAAGAAACAGGCAGGAACUGAUAGAAAGAGUAACAAAAUUACAACAAGAAUCUGAAAGUAUUAUGCAACAAUUAGAGGCAGCAGAGUUGAAAGCUUCUGCAGCCUUGAAAGCUUCAGCAACUUGCGAAUCUCAAUUUACAGAACUUCAGCAACAACUUGAAGAGGAAACAAGACAAAAAUUAGCUUUAAGUUCAAAAUUGAGAGCGUUAGAAAGUGAAAAAGAAAGUCUGCAUGAUCAAUUAGAAGAAGAAGAGGAGGCAAAGAGAUGCUUAGAUAAACAGGUUAUGGGCUUAACUGUACAAUUGGCUGAAGCAAAGAAAAGAGUUGAGGAAGAAACUGAAGCUGCUACAGCAUUGGAAGAAGCAAGAAAGCGGUGCAUGAAAGACAUUGAAGCACUUCAAAGACAAGUUGAAGAACUACAAGCUGCUAAUGAUAAAUUAGACAAAUCAAAGAAAAAGAUUCAAGCAGAAUUAGAAGAUAGUAUCAUUGAGCUCGAAGCGCAAAGAGCAAAGGUGCUGGAAUUGGAGAAGAAACAGAAAAAUUUCGAUAAGGUGCUGGCUGAAGAAAAAGCGGUCUCUGAACAGUAUGCAGAGCAACGUGAUGCUGCCGAACGUGAGGCUCGUGAAAAAGAAACUCGUGUCUUAUCCUUAACUCGAGAACUCGACGAAAUGAAUGAGAAAGUUGAAGAACUCGAACGAAUUCGUCGAGGUCUCCAAUCAGAAUUGGACGAACUCGUAAACAAUCAAGGAACAGCAGACAAAAAUGUGCAUGAAUUAGAAAAAGCAAAACGUGCUCUUGAGUCACAAUUGGCGGAGCAACGUUCUCAAGUAGAAGAGCUCGAGGAUGAGUUACAAUUUACGGAAGAUGCAAAGUUGCGUCUAGAAGUAAAUAUGCAAGCUCUAAGAGCCCAAUUCGAGCGAGACUUGCAAGCUAAAGAAGAACAAGCUGAGGAGAAACGAAGAGGAUUGGUGAAACAAUUGCGCGAUCUUGAAGCGGAAUUAGAGGAUGAAAGAAAACAAAGAGCUGCCGCUAUUGCACAACGUAAAAAAAUGGAAGCAGACUAUAAAGAUAUUGAACAGCAAUUGGAAAUGCACAAUAAGGUAAAAGAAGAUGCCUUGAAACAAUUGAAGAAACUUCAAGCCCAAAUAAAAGAUUGCACUAGAGAAACUGAGGAAGCUAGAGCUGCUAGAGAUGAACUUGCAGCAAGUGCUAAAGAAACUGAGAGAAAGGUAAAGAGUUUAGAAGCAGACUUGAUGCAAUUAACUGAAGAUUAUGCCAGCAGUGAACGAGCUAGAAGAGCUGCUGAGAACGAAAGAGACGAAUUACAGGAAGAACUCAAUAAUAAUGCUAAUAAGGGUACAUUAAUGUUGGAUGAAAAACGUAGAUUGGAAGCUAGAAUAGCAACAUUGGAAGAAGAGUUAGAAGAAGAACAAUCAAAUGGUGAACUGCUAAUGGAUAGAGCUAGAAAAGCGCAAAUAACUAUCGAACAACUAACAAAUGAUUUAACGACUGAGAGAUCAACUACACAGAAAUUGGAAUCGCACAAAUUGUUAUUGGAAAGGCAAAAUAAGGAGUUGAAGGCGAAACUUACAGAAUUAGAAACUGCUCAAAGAGCAAAGACCAAAGCUACCAUUCAACAAUUAGAGUCAAAGAUUAAUAAUCUUGAUGAACAAUUAGAAACUGAAGCAAAAGAAAGAUUUGCACAGCAGAAGAUUAAUAGAAAAUUGGAGAAAAAGCUAAAGGAAUUAAGUUUACAGUUAGAAGACGAAAGGAGAAAUUCAGAUCAAUACAAAGAACAAGCAGAAAAAGUAAAUGCUAGAAUGAAAGCUUUGAAGAGACAGCUUGAUGAAGCUGAAGAAGAAAUUAGCAGGCAUAAAGCAAUGAAAAGGAAAGCGCAAAGAGAAAUGGAUGAUAUGCUUGAAUCUCAAGAAGAGCUAACCAGGGAGGUUGCAAAUCUUAAAAAUAAAUUAAGGCGUCGAGGGAAAAAGAAUAGUUCAUACCCCACGUGAAAAAAGCGGAAUUUCUUCAAGUCUCAAGCAUUCCUCGAGUCUUGACGAGGUGGUCCUCCAAUAAGCCUUAGUUCGACGCGUCUGAAACGCGGCUCUGUUCAAACCGGUGGAUCCGGCGACGAUUCGACGACACAGGAUGAAAGCAUCGAUGGAAACUCAUAAAAAUAUCCAGGUCCAAGAAGUGUGUGCAAGAUCCGUUUCGAUCAAAGCUAAGUUCGAAUCGGAGAGCUCCUUUGUAUGAGUUCAGAAGUCGAUUCCAGUGCACCCAACGAUGCCAUUACACGAGGGCGGCGGCUUUCUUCUGUACAUAAGAAACCCGACAGGGCCGUAUUAAGUAGUAUUUUAUCUCCGUUUCUUCCGGAACUCCACAGAAAAUGACGAAUUUUCUCUGGUCAACUUGAUAUGAUUAUAUCUUAUAUAUUUUAUAACAAGCUUAUUAACGGUUUUCAAUGUUAAUAAGCAAACAGUAAAAGAAGGUUGUACAAGUAAAUUUAAUCGAACUUUUUUUUCGAUAAAUUCAAUGUGCAAGAUAUACGCUUACGAAAUAUGUAUAUUAAUGCUAUAAUGCAUUAACAGUACUUGAAUGCCAUACACACUUCAUAUUUGACAUUCUUUCAAUUAUAUCUUACAAUGAAGAUGUUCGUCAUUUUUUUUGGAAAAUGCUACCACAUAGUCGGGUAAGAUUCAGACUAGAAAUAUAUUAUUGGGGCUGCAUAAUCGAUAAUGAAUUAACACCGCAUUUAGGCAGCAUUAAUAUCUAUUAUAAUUAUAUUAUAGUUAUUAUUAUUAUUAUUAAUUAUUAUAUUGCCGCAGUUUUUAUUUUUAUCGCGAAAAAUAUCGUAAUAUGUUACUUGUAAUUAUUUUUAAUAAUCAAGCCAAUGACGGACGAUUCUAGCAUCGUUCCGAAAGAUGUGAGAUUAAUAGAAUUUUCGAAAGGCUGAAACUUACUUUUUGUUAAUCAAAGUGUUUAAAGAAACUAUUUUUUAAAUAAUAUACUAACAGCAUCGAAUCAAACGAAUAAAAAGUAAAUUUGAAACUUCUGAAGAAAAAUUGCUUUUAUGUUUCACAGAAGUUUAAGGACGGUUCUAAAGAAAAUUAAAAUAGAUUGAAACGAUCGAAAGCUAAAGAACGUCUAAGGAAACUUGCUUUUUUAUGUCUAAAUACUUUGCAAAGAAAAAGAUAUCUUAUUCGGAUAUCAAAUUUCAAAGCGAAGAAAAGUAGUAUUAUUAUUUUUAAGAAAAAUUUUAUUCUUUAUGUUUCGGUCGAAUGUGUUAAUAAUUGCUCUUCUUGAUUUCUUUCAAAUAAUCAUUGUAUAGUCAAUUUUUUUGUUUCCAACUCGUCUGACGGAACGAACUAGAAAUCGACGAUCGAGAGUUAUCAAUUGGUACUUAGGGUCGAUCGAAGAUCGAGAACUUUUUCGUUUCGCAUUAUUCAAUUUUAAAUGCAUCGAAAAGUCGAUGUAUGUUUUCAUAUCAUUGUUUUACCAUCUGCAUGAACUUAUAAAUAUCAUACUAAUAAACGUCAAUUUUUUACAGCUAUAUAUACAUAUUAAACUUUUUCAAACAGUUUCGAAGAACUACUUUACUUCUACCAGUGAUGUUUUUAGGUAGAAAAGCAAUGUUCUGAUGAAUUUCUUUAUGCAUUUAAAAUUGAAUCGUCGAAAAUCAUAAAACAAAAUUUAAAAAAGGAAGAAGAGAAAGCCAGCAAUGUUUUUAUAUAUGCAUUUUUUACGACAUGUGCAUUUCUCAUGCAUUAGAAAAAACGCAUUUUUAACCUCCUUUUGUAAAGAUAUAAACAAAGAAAAGAAUUUAAAGCAGGCAAACGACUUUAUACGUACUUGCGAUGUGCUUUUUCCUGUUACCUUGAGAUAUUCAUUAUUUGAUUACACAGAUAACUAUUCUUAAAGGUAUUUACAACCCGGAAUGAAAGAUAAAAGGAGGUUAAUGAGCGAUCAUAUGUAUUACACAUACAUAUGUAUACGUAUACAGAGUAUCGUAAAGUAUGGGGUAUUUGGUAAACAAGUCUUAUACCGAAAAAAUUAUUAUAAAAAAAUUGAAUGAUACUACUUGAUCAAUUUAUUUUCUACGGAUUUACUUCAUUCUCCAAUUAAAUAUAAAAAAAGCUUAAUAGAUAUGUAUUUUUUGCGAUAAAAGUACAUAAUAUAUAACGUAUACUAUCAAUUUCGAUAUUGAAAACAACUAGAUUACUUCGUAACCGAUGCUGGAGGAAAAACAAAAUAUACUUUGUACAAAAAUAUUAUUUCCUAAGUGCAACAUACUUUAUUGCAUACUUUAUAUAUAUGUCCGGAAUAUUCUAUUUUUUGAUAUGGCAAAGUGAUUGGUGUCUGGACGAAACCGGCCUGUUUUUUACAUUAAACAACUUUCUAGUGAUUUUUUAGGCGGGCUUUUCAAAUUCGCAAUUGAACUGCCACUUCACACCAUCGUGGACUAUUUUCUCCACAUAACGAUGAUGAAUUAAAUUUGAAAAUCUUUUGAUUAAAUUAAUAAACUUAUACACAUUUUCGACGAAUUUACUUAAUAAGAAAUAAAUUAUAAUUUCAUACGUAAAAA